UGCAAAGGUACAGUCAACCUUUCAGCCUGACUUGGACUUUUUUUCAUGAGAACCUUAUCAAACAUUAAACAACAUUUUAUAAGCAGUGAAUAGGAAGUGACCAUUCAUUUGCAAAACCUAAAUAUUGAUUGAUUCACAAAAUGUCACAAAGGAUCCAAUUGACAAUAUGUAUACAAAGGUCCAUUUAUCCCAUAGAUAUAUAUAGAGAACCCAGUGAUAAGGGGGGCAAUAGUGUUUUGCCCCUUAAGG